rnacentral:rRNA from 1 species
CGUAGGGUGCAGGCGUUAAUCGGAAUUACUGGGCGUAAAGCGUGCGCAGGCGGUCUUUUAAGUCAGAUGUGAAAUCCCCGGGCUUAACCUGGGAACUGCGUUUGAAACUGGAAGGCUUGAGUGUGGCAGAGGGGGUGGAAUUCCACGUGUAGCAGUGAAAUGCGUAGAGAUGUGGAGGAACACCGAUGGCGAAGGCAGCCCCCUGGGCUAACACUGACGCUCAUGCACGAAAGCGUGGGGAGCAAACAGGAUUAGAUACCCUGGUAGUCCACGCCCUAAACUAUGUCAACUGGUUGUCGGGGAAGCAAUUCCUUGGUAACGAAGCUAACGCGUGAAGUUGACCGCCUGGGGAGUACGGCCGCAAGGUUA